UACGUAGGGAGCAGGCGUUGUCCGGAAUCAUUGGGCGUAAAGAGCGCGUAGGCGGUCCGGUAAGUCGGUUGUGAAAACUGGGGGCUCAACCCUCAGACGCCGACCGAUACUGUCGGGCUAGAGUCCGGAAGAGGCGAGUGGAAUUCCUGGUGUAGCGGUGAAAUGCGCAGAUAUCAGGAGGAACACCAAUGGCGAAGGCGACUUACUGGACACAUAUUGACGCUGAGGUGCGAAAGCGUGGGGAGCAAACAGG
rnacentral:rRNA from 1 species